ensembl:lncRNA
UGUCUUCCCACACCUCAGGGCCGUAGUUGCGGAUCACCAGCAGCUCCAGCGCGUGAUUCACGAAUCCAUACUGCGGGACAGGAAGACCCGAGCGUCAGGGACUGGCUGCGGUGGGAAGGGGAUUGGGGGCCAGGCCGCCGCAGCUGCCGCCACGGCGCCAGGGAACUUAGUACCCUGCCCCCUGCUUCCGCUCUAUUUGGGGUCCAGGUGCUAAGGAGAGGUAGUACAGGGGCGCAACCUCCGCCCCAUUCAGGGGCAGCUUGUCUCCGUCACUGUCCGCCCCAUCCCCAGGCCACCCCCUCCCACGCUCACCUGUACCCGCGCCAAGGCAGGUUGCGCCCCAGGAGAGCCCGGCGGAGGGACCCAGGCGGCGGCGGCGACCCGCACCCAGCCCGCGCCCCCGGCCCGGCGCGCCCUGAUGGCCACCUCCCUGCAGCUACCGCAAACCGAGCCGAGGGGCUGCCACCGCCUCCCGGCUCCUGACCAAUCGGCGGCCGCGGAGGGAAUUCGGAUGCUCCGGUGCCGCCGCGCUCCCGCGCCUGCCCGCCCCCGCCUCCGUGACGAGGAUUGAGGCCGCAGCAGUGACGGUGGAGAGGCCGCAGCCGGGCUCGGGCACCGAUUCUGGGGCGGCGAGAACGCAGAUGCUGUGGUCUCACCAAAUGUAUUGUUACGCAAAGAUAUGCCCUCGGGAAGCACAUACUAAGGAGGGGUGUGUGUGUGUGUCGUUUGCAACGUGUGUGUGUGCGUGUGUCGUUUGCAACGCACAAGCCUUAAAAGGAAUAUGCCCUCGUGGUCGGCAUCCUCCUCCUUUUUAUCAUCAUGCUGCAGAUGAACAUUUCCUUUGUGGCUUGUUCCCUCAACAGUUUAUGGCAAGCUGAAAGCUAAUAAUACUCCCCUUAGCACAUUUCACUUUUCGUCAAUGAGACGAGCUGAGUGAGCCAGCUAAAAUUUUCAGUACUAUUGUUUGGGUGAGCGCCUGUCUAAAUCAGUUCUGCCGUUCUCUCAACUGCCUGCCAGGUCCAGGGGCUCCAUCCUGAUGGAACACCUGACCCCACUGCACAGCGGGGAGCCGCGACUCAGAGAGUCCGAAGUUGGCGGGUCAUAAUUUGGCUUCUGUUGCUGUUUCUCAGAGGGAACUGCUGAACUGGAAAAGGCCCAGUACCGAAGGAACAGACUUUUAAUUAUAUAGCUCGUCAUCUCCUUUCUUCCAGGUACUUGGGUUGGUUAAUGCCCUGAGCCCCACUGCAGGGAAAAGAUGAGCCAGCAGGAACGGUCUGCUGAUGAGAACUCUGUGCCGGAAGUGCAUGGACAUGGUUGACUGGGGUUAGAUCAAGAGUGGAGAAGGAAAGGCAAGCCUUGCUUCCAGUCACCAGUGUCAGUGGAGCCAAGAAGCCAGGAUGAGAUUCUAUGAUGAGAAAAGAGAAAAAUGUCACAGCAAUAAAAGUUGUACUGGUUUCUGUUACCAGAGGCCUACGUUGAAACAUAAUUGAUACAGAAAUACUAAACAGCAAACAAGACGAAGAAUAACCUGUAAAAUAGUCACUUCUGUUACUAAUGGUGGAAUUUUUAUAAAUCAGAGGCUUUCAUACAUAUAAGCUUUCAUAUAAUUAUUAAAAUGUUGAACCAUUUUUUAAUAUUAAUUUUUAACCAUUAAAAUAGACCAUUACUCCAUACGAUCAUGAAAAAGCUAGAUACAUAAUGACACAGAAAGAUGCACUGAUGAAUAAACAAGCGACACAUGUAUGUGAUCACCUUCAAUUUUUGUAUAUAAAAUCUUUGUAUAGAGUAAGGUGCAAUUUGUAUAAUAAGAGCACACAUAUUGAUAUAAAGGUAACUUCCUGGGAAAAUGCAUAGAAAAGCUUUGCAAUGUCUAUCUGUUAUUAGAACCGGUGGUUGGAGGAAAAAAGAUUUUAACUUUUUGUAUCAUGGCCUUCUGUACCUUUUUAUUUUUUCUAUGCAGAUAUAAUACUUUUUUAAAAUUUUUACUGGAGUAUAGUUGAUGUACAGUAUUGUGUUAGUUUCAAGUGUACAGCAAAGUGAAUCUGUUAUACAUAUAUCCACUCUUUUUUAAGAUUCUUUUCCUAAACAGGCCGUUGCAAAAUAUUGAGCAGACUUCCCUGUGCGAUACAGUAGGUCCUUAACAGUUGCCUAUUUUAUAUGUUGUAGUGUGUAUAUGGAGAAGGCAAUGGCACCCACUCCAGUACUCUUGCUUGGAAAAUCCCAU